rnacentral:rRNA from 1 species
AUUGAACGCUGGCGGAAUGCUUUACACAUGCAAGUCAAACGGCAGCACGGGUGCUUGCACCUGGUGGCGAGUGGCGAACGGGUGAGUAAUAUAUCGGAACGUAUCCAAUAAUGGGGGAUAACUAAUCGAAAGGUUGGCUAAUACCGCAUACGCCCUACGGGGGAAAGCUAGGGACCUUCGGGCCUGGCGUUAAUGGAGCGGCCGAUAUCUGAUUAGCUAGUUGGUGGGGUAAUGGCCUACCAAGGCGACGAUCAGUAGCUGGUCUGAGAGGACGACCAGCCACACUGGAACUGAGACACGGUCCAGACUCCUACGGGAGGCAGCAGUGGGGAAUUUUGGACAAUGGGCGCAAGCCUGAUCCAGCCAUUCCGCGUGAGUGAAGAAGGCCUUCGGGUUGUAAAGCUCUUUCGCAAGGGAAGAAAACUUAUCCUCUAACAUAGGAUGAGGUUGACGGUACCUUGAUAAGAAGCACCGGCUAACUACGUGCCAGCCGCCGCAGUAA